GGAAGAUCGUCGAAGGAUUCAGACAUGGUGGAGAUCGCUCCUCCCACGUUUGUUUCGGGUCCGACAACUCUAGAAAUCCAGAAAGAACAGGACAGAGACCAUGAUCAAGGAGAGAAUCAGAAACUGAGUCUAUAUCAAGCCUUGAGUCUAAAGACCCUCCUUGCAGAUUAUCUGCUUCUGAUAGCUUACAAAGCUAUAUACGUUUGAGUUGCUAUUAUAGUUAAUGUGCACAUUACGAUAAUGCAGAGAUGAAUGUCUGAAUCUCAGUUUUCGGUUGCAACAGCUGAGGAAGAUAAUGAUGAAUAGCAUAAACCAUCAACUCAGGCUCUCAGCUAUCACAAUGUUUCUCAGUCUCAAUCCGUUCAUCCAUAGCAGGAAUUCAGAGUAGUUAUACCAAGACCUAAGCUUUUACCAGGCUUGCAUGUUCAAAGCACCUAUGGUUACAGCCAAAAAUGGUUCUUCCUCUCGGUAUGGUCUCAUGCUCAACUGACAUUGGCCUCCCAUUGUGUCAUAAACAGCUCUGUGGUAACAAUGCUGCCAGUAUCCGCAAUGUGUGAUUGGCAAGUUUGGGCAUACCUGCAAAAUUGUUCACUCCAUGAGCUCUUAUUCUUCUUCCCUAAGCUACAGCCCGAUGGUUUCUUCAGUCAUUGACAUGCCCCUCACACCUUACCCUCUUGAGUCCUCAUUGCUCAGCACAUUAGCUCCAUCAUCAUCAUCCUUAGAUGAAAACGCACAGAGCUUCAGUCUUCGAGCUCCAAGAAAACUCAAAACCACAACACAAGUGGUGGCUCUGAACCGUUGCUGCUGAAGUCUCUCCGUCUUCUUCUUUGACAACCAGCCUGAGCCAUUCUGAUCCUGCUGAGACCAAAAAGAAUACCCAGUUAGCAUUGAGUUUAAGAUUUAGAAGUUAAAGAUACAAAGCUCAAAGGAGAGAACCUCGCUAUACUUCUUCUAUUGUUCCUCUAUCGCUCUUUUCUUUUUAUCAAACUUGCAUGAACUGAGGACAUGAAAGAUGUCUAUAAACUAUAAACAUGUUUGGGACCAAGUAAGAUAGAUUGAACUAUAAUGAGUUUUUUUUAUAUAUGA